ACCAUUGUUUCAACAUGAAGGUUUGUAAUAAAAAUUUGUUUCUAUCAGCAUUGCUUUGCAUUGCUGUUGCAGGAGUUUUGGGUCAAGCUCCUAGUAAUCCUCCUACGUCUACGCCGGCGCCACCCACACCACCGGCUUCUACUCCUCCUCCGACGACUCAAGCACCGCCUACACCAACCGCCACUCCGCCACCGGUUUCUACUCCUCCUCCCACUUCAUCACCGCCCCCAGUGACAGCUUCUCCACCCCCAGUUUCAACUCCUCCACCCAGUUCUCCUCCUCCUGCAACUCCACCACCUGCUUCUCCUCCUCCUGCAACUCCACCUCCAGCUUCUCCACCUCCUGCCACUCCUCCACCAGCUUCUCCACCUCCCGCCACUCCACCACCUGCAACCCCACCGCCAGCAACUCCUCCUCCUGCUACCCCACCACCAGCUCCAUUGGCUUCUCCUCCAGCCACAGUCCCAGCUAUCUCUCCAGUACAAACACCAUUGACAUCGCCACCAGCUCCGCCGACCGAGGCCCCAGCAC
rnacentral:lncRNA from 1 species